UCUCUUGUUCUUCUUCAUCUGAAUGCCUCAUUGUUUGUCUUGCCUUAUGGUUCUGACAGACACAUCCAGUCCUAUGUGGAACAGCAGUGUUGACAUAGGACAUGGUGGCCUUGCUCCCUACCCGAGGAAGUUCAUCUAUUUCAGAGGCAAACAGCAGAAAGAGCCUGGGAGCCUAGACCAGUUUUAUCUCCUGCAACAGCUCCACCAGUGCAGAUGGACCAGGGAGUGUCCUCCAGGGACCUCUGCCUCUUUAUAACGUUAAGUCUCUGCCCUAGGAGGAGGACAAGCUUCAUUGACCUACCGCACGAUGGGGACACAAGCUCCUGUGCUCCAUAUUCCUGCACAACCUCGUGCCCACUCUUGCAUAAGAUGACAAAACUCCCUUUUCUGGGUAUCCAUCCUAACCCUGAAUGAAAGGAACCCACUCGCCUCCACUCAGGGAGUCACAGCUUUGAUAAUUCUUGUCCCUGAUCCCCUUAUCUAUGGCAAAUAAAGUUUCCUUUGUGUGACAGCA